rnacentral:rRNA from 1 species
AUUGAACGCUGGCGGCAUGCCUUACACAUGCAAGUCGAACGGCAGCACGGACUUCGGUCUGGUGGCGAGUGGCGAACGGGUGAGUAAUGUAUCGGAACGUACCUUUCAGUGGGGGAUAACGUAGCGAAAGUUACGCUAAUACCGCAUAUUCUGUGAGCAGGAAAGCAGGGGAUCGCAAGACCUUGCGCUGAUUGAGCGGCCGAUGGCAGAUUAGGUAGUUGGUGGGAUAAAAGCUUACCAAGCCGACGAUCUGUAGCUGGUCUGAGAGGACGACCAGCCACACUGGGACUGAGACACGGCCCAGACUCCUACGGGAGGCAGCAGUGGGGAAUUUUGGACAAUGGGGGAAAACCCUGAUCCAGCCAUGCCGCGUGCAGGAUGAAGGCCUCGGUUGUAAACUGCUUUGUACGGUAACGAAAAGGUACUUACUAAUUAAAGAAGGACGUCAUGACGGUACCGUAAGGAAUAAAGACAACCGGCUAACUAACGUAGCCAGCAGCCGCGUAAGAC